rnacentral:rRNA from 1 species
GAUGAACGCUGGCGGCGUGCCUAACACAUGCAAGUCGAACGGGUGUACGGGGAGGAAGGCUUCGGCCGGAAAACCUGUGCAUGAGUGGCGGACGGGUGAGUAACGCGUGGGCAACCUGGCCUGUACAGGGGGAUAACACUUAGAAAUAGGUGCUAAUACCGCAUAACGGGGGAAGCCGCAUGGCUUUUCCCUGAAAACUCCGGUGGUACAGGAUGGGCCCGCGUCUGAUUAGCCAGUUGGCAGGGUAACGGCCUACCAAAGCGACGAUCAGUAGCCGGCCUGAGAGGGCGGACGGCCACACUGGGACUGAGACACGGCCCAGACUCCUACGGGAGGCAGCAGUGGGGGAUAUUGCACAAUGGGGGGAACCCUGAUGCAGCGACGCCGCGUGGGUGAAGAAGCGCCUCGGCGCGUAAAGCCCUGUCAGCAGGGAAGAAAA